GCGAUCAUACCAGCACUAAUGCACCGGAUCCCAUCAGAACUCCGCAGUUAAGCGUGCUUGGGCGAGAGUAGUACUAGGAUGGGUGACCUCCUGGGAAGUCCUCGUGUUGCACCCC
rnacentral:rRNA from 3 species